rnacentral:tRNA from 1 species
GCGGGCGUGGCGGAACUGGUAGACGCGCAUGGUUUAGGUUCAUGUACUGAGAGGUGUGGGGGUUCAAGUCCCUCCGCCCGCACCA